rnacentral:rRNA from 1 species
GACGGGUAUCCGGCCUGAGAGGGUGAACAGACACACUGGAACUGAGACACGGUCCAGACUCCUACGGGAGGCAGCAGUAGGGAAUAUUGCUCAAUGGGGGAAACCCUGAAGCAGCAACGCCGCGUGGAGGAUGAGGGUUUUAGGAUUGUAAACUCCUUUUGUUAGAGAAGAUUAUGACGGUAUCUAACGAAUAAGCACCGGCUAACUCCGUGCCAGCAGCCGCGGUAAUACGGAGGGUGCAAGCGUUACUCGGAAUCACUGGGCGUAAAGAGUGCGCAGGCGGGAUAGCAAGUCAGAUGUGAAAUGCUAUGGCUUAACCAUAGAACUGCAUUUGAAACUGUUAUUCUA